rnacentral:rRNA from 1 species
GACGAACGCUGGCGGCGUGCUUAACACAUGCAAGUCGAACGGAAAGGCUCUGCUUUUGUGGGGUGCUCGAGUGGCGAACGGGUGAGUAACACGUGAGUAACCUGCUCUUGACUUUGGGAUAACUUCAGGAAACUGGGGCUAAUACCGGAUAGGAGCUCCUGCUGCAUGGUGGGGGUUGGAAAGUUUCGGCGGUUGGGGAUGGACUCGCGGCUUAUCAGCUUGUUGGUGGGGUAGUGGCUUACCAAGGCUUUGACGGGUAGCCGGCCUGAGAGGGUGACCGGCCACAUUGGGACUGAGAUACGGCCCAGACUCCUACGGGAGGCAGCAGUGGGGAAUAUUGCACAAUGGGCGGAAGCCUGAUGCAGCAACGCCGCGUGCGGGAUGACGGCCUUCGGGUUGUAAACCGCUUUCGCCUGUGACGAAGCGUGAGUGACGGUAAUGGGUAAAGAAGCACCGGCUAACUACGUG